AGAAUAGGCAUGCACCACCACACCUGGUUUUUGUGUACCUUUUUAAGACUCAACUGUCACCUCUUCUGUGCACAGACUGGUCCUUUUAGACAUAACACUGGUACUUGUGCUGGUCUCUCUCAAGCUUGCACACAUCUGCUAGUUCAGAAACCCUCUGAGGCUGAAGGUUCUAGAAUGUGACUCUGUCGUUUAGGCAGUACAGCAUCACUUGAAUAAAAAUUAGGAAAAAACAGUCUUGGAGUAGAAAGCCAUUCCACAACAUAGAGGUUUCGUCAACAUUCCUACCCAAAGGAAAUUUGGAGGGCAUUUUGGACAAAUCAUGCUUAAUUUUGACAUCAAAAUGAAAAGUUUUCUGUUUGAUGUUGGCAAACUAGGAGUGAGAAAGAGUUUCCCAAAGAGUGCUGAGUGGCAAACCCUGUAGCCUUCCAGUCCCAGGUUUUCUGGUUUAUUUUAAUGCAGCAAGCUGCUUGAUGAGAUCUGCAGCCACUUGAAAUAUGAUUUACCACUCGUAAAAAGUUUCAAAUGGAUAAUGAAGAUUCAAGAACGAAGCUCACAGUGUGGUGCAGUCAGUUUUGUUGCUCUGCUCUGCAGUACAUCUCUGCCACUGAAAUGAAUUAUUUAUUAUAAUUUAUCUCACCCCUAGAAAAUAAAACUGUUUUCAUCGUGAUGUGCUGUAACACUCAGAAUAGGCACGUUACACAGAGUCCUCUCAAUUAAUUAAUCCUGAAGUUCCAUUCUAACUUUAUCUUCUUUCUUACAAGCUGGGAGACUGGCAGGUAAUUCUUUCCUCAAUAAACCAUGAUUAAAAUGAAUGUUUUGAGAACUAGGGGUAAAGUUGAUAAUGGAGAAAACUGAAAGAACAGCAAAACUGGGUUGUGUUUUUCCUUAGAUUUUAUAUUGAGUGGAAGGGGCAAUUUAUCACUCAGAGGAAGGAGGAGGUGGCAGGGUGUAGCUGGUGCAGACGUGGAC
rnacentral:lncRNA from 1 species